rnacentral:rRNA from 1 species
UACGUAGGUGGCAAGCGUUGUCCGGAUUUACUGGGCGUAAAGAGCGCGCAGGCGGUCGCUCAAGUCGCGUGUGAAAGCCCCCGGCUCAACUGGGGAGGGUCAUUCGAUACUGAUCGACUCGAAGGCAGGAGAGGGUAGUGGAAUUCCCGGUGUAGUGGUGAAAUGCGUAGAUAUCGGGAGGAACACCAGUGGCGAAGGCGACUACCUGGCCUGUUCUUGACGCUGAGGCGCGAAAGCUAGGGGAGCAAACGGG